rnacentral:rRNA from 1 species
UGAUCUAGCUUGCUAGAUUGAUGGCGAGUGGCGAACGGGUGAGUAAUACAUCGGAACGUGCCCUGUAGUGGGGGAUAACUAGUCGAAAGAUUAGCUAAUACCGCAUACGACCUGAGGGUGAAAGUGGGGGACCGCAAGGCCUCAUGCUAUAGGAGCGGCCGAUGUCUGAUUAGCUAGUUGGUGAGGUAAAGGCUCACCAAGGCGACGAUCAGUAGCUGGUCUGAGAGGACGAUCAGCCACACUGGGACUGAGACACGGCCCAGACUCCUACGGGAGGCAGUAGUGGGGAAUUUUGGACAAUGGGGGCAACCCUGAUCCAGCAAUGCCGCGUGUGUGAAGAAGGCCUUCGGGUUGUAAAGCACUUUUGUCCGGAAAGAAAUCGCACUUACUAAUAUUAGGUGUGGAUGACGGUACCGGAAGAAUAAGGACCGGCUAACUACGUGCCAGCAGCCGCGGUAAUACGUAGGGUCCAAGCGUUAAUCGGAAUUACUGGGCGUAAAGCGUGCGCAGGCGGUUGUGCAAGACCGAUGUGAAAUCCCCGGGCUUAACCUGGGAAUUGCAUUGGUGACUGCACGGCUAGAGUGUGUCAGAGGGGGGUAGAAUUCCACGUGUAGCAGUGAAAUGCGUAGAGAUGUGGAGGAAUACCGAUGGCGAAGGCAGCCCCCUGGGAUAACACUGACGCUCAUGCACGA